UACGAGUGCCCCAAGCGUUAUCCGGAAUCAUUGGGCGUAAAGGGUGUGUAGGCGGAUUAGUUAGUCUUCUGUCAAAAUCUCGGGCUCAACCCGAGACCUGCAGGGGAAACGGCUAGUCUGGAGGAUGCGAGAGGUGAAUGGAACUCAUGGUGUAGGGGUGAAAUCCGUUGAUAUCAUGGGGAACACCGAAAGCGAAGGCAAUUCACUGGCGCAUUCCUGACGCUGAAACACGAAAGCGUGGGUAGCGAACGGG
rnacentral:misc_RNA from 1 species